UCGGGAAUUUUGGGCAAUGGGCGAAAGCCUGACCCAGCAACGCCGCGUGAAGGAUGAAGUAUUUCGGUAUGUAAACUUCGUAAGAAUAGGAAGAAUAAAUGACGGUACUAUUUGUAAGGUCCGGCUAACUACGUGCCAGCAGCCGCGGUAAUACGUAGGGACCAAGCGUUGUUCGGAUUUACUGGGCGUAAAGGGCGCGUAGGCGGUGUGUCAAGUCAGUUGUGAAAUCUCCGAGCUUAACUCGGAACGGUCAACUGAUACUGUCACACUAGAGUACAGAAGGGGCAAUCGGAAUUCUUGGUGUAGCGGUGAAAUGCGUAGAUAUCAAGAGGAACACCAGUGGCGAAGGCGACUUGCUGGACUUGUGGUGACGCUGAGACGCGAAAGCGUGGGGAGCAAACAGGAUUAGAUACCCUAGUAGUCCCUGAGCGGGCUGGCAAGGCGCAU
rnacentral:rRNA from 1 species